UGUUUGUCUCCAGGUGUAGAUCGCCUGGACAGGGACCUGACUAUAGGCCAAAUGCAAGGCAAAUUCAUGAUGCAGGUGCUGCCCCCUAGUGGCCACGCAGUGCACGAGGACACACCAGACAAAGUUGCAGAUGCUCUGGCCAGCUUUCUGUUCAGACACAAGUUUGCUGAGGCCAGCAGAGGUCAGCGCACGAGCUCCUCCUACCCUUUCACGCGGUGAAGUCAGCAGGCCAACAGAGAACAUCCCGUCUUUCUGUGUCCUGAACAACAAAUAUUUAAAUCAUUUUCAUAUUUUACUUUCCAACAGUUUAUAGUGUUUUAGUAUUUAGAACUUUGGUUACGUCAUUUUAGCAUUUUAGUCACUUAGAAUUGUAUGUUUUACAGUCGUAGUGUGGUUCAGUAAACAUAUUGCAGUGUUUUAAAAGUACAAGCCCCAGGGCAGUGGGAUGGUGUUAUGUAAGUACUAAAAUGUGUCUAGUUGGACUGUGACUCAAACAUGUGUUGGGUAAACAGUUCUCAUGGGAGAGGAAUGUAACGAUCACUAACACACACACACACAGGAAGUAGGCAUACACACACACACACACACACUCACACACACAC